UUGGAUUUGAUGGUGGCGAUGAUGGGUGAUCUGAUGGUUGUGGUGAUUUAUGUUGAUCUAGCAUGAAUUUGGUGGUGGUGGAUCUAACGAUGGAAAUUGCAAUGACAGUGGUAAUUUUGUAGCUGAAAAUGGUGGUUGUGGUUGUGUUUUGAAGUUGAAAAUGAUAGUUUUGUAGAGACGACGACGGCACAAGGUGUGGUUGCAUGGCAUUGCUUUCGUUUGGUG
rnacentral:lncRNA from 1 species